rnacentral:tRNA from 1 species
GGAGAAAUAGCUCAACUGGCAGAGCUCAGGCCUCACAUGCCUGAGACUGACUAACACACACACUCUCUCUCUCUUUCUCUC